rnacentral:rRNA from 1 species
UGGGGAAUAUUGGACAAUGGGCGCAAGCCUGCUCCAGCCAUGCCGCGUGAGUGAUGAAGGCCCUAGGGUUGUAAAGCUCUUUCACCGGUGAAGAUAAUGACGGUAACCGGAGAAGAAGCCCCGGCUAACUUCGUGCCAGCAGCCGCGGUAAUACGAAGGGGGCUAGCGUUGUUCGGAUUUACUGGGCGUAAAGCGCACGUAGGCGGACUUUUAAGUCAGGGGUGAAAUCCCAGGGCUCAACCCCGGAACUGCCUUUGAUACUGGAAGUCUUGAGUAUGGUAGAGGUGAGUGGAAUUCCGAGUGUAGAGGUGAAAUUCGUAGAUAUUCGGGGGAAAACCAGUGGCGAAGGCGACUCACUGGACCAUUACUGACGCAGAGGUGCGAAAGCGUGGGGAGCAAACGGG